AAGAAAACUAAUGCACGCAUCGCCCUGUUCCUGCUCAAUCGACUUAAGGAAGCAUUCUGAGAAGCUUUAGUGCUCCCGAACUCUGAGUGCAUAAGCAUUUCAUGGAUGCUGGCUGAAAAGGAGAAUUGGAUUCCUCGGACUGUUGCUCCAUACAUGUGGGUUAAACAAGAAUGUGGACACGAUACCUCUGCUUCAAAUGAUAAAACUAGCGCAAGGAUAUCAGUUGAUGGUUCGGGGCUAACACCCCAAAACCAACAUGGGGCCAAGUCUAUAGUAGAACCAGUUAGGAAAUCGUUUUCUUUCGGAUGAGCAUCAUCUUCCUCUUGUCCAAUAGUAUUAAAGAGCAGCAGCCAAAGUUUUGUCCAACUGUCAACACCUUUUCUAGAGGCUUACAUAAUGCAACAAACUGAGGAUUUGAAAGAACUUCCAGCAUCUUCCAUAGAGAAUGAGAAUAGAGAUGAAACACGGGAAGAGAAGACGGAGGAUAUUACUGUCUAUCAACCACAAACACUCUAUUCUCUGCUUAUGGAUAAACAAGUUAGUCCAUCUGAACAGAAAAAAAAUCGGGAAGAGGGAAAAGAUGUUUGAUUUGCGAAAGAGGAUGAGCGAGAAGUUGGAAGAAAAGAGGCGUCACUUUGUUGAAAAGAUGAGAGGACCAUGAGAAAAUGAGAACAAAAGUAGAGAUCAGAACUCUGAUUUCUGUUACUGAUUUGUUGAUCAUGUCAGAUAUUAGCAACCAUUCUUAAAAGAAUCUUUUGAUUGAUGAAUUGUACAUCUUAUAGGUUCUUAGAAGAUCUAAUUUAACUAGAUGUAUACUUUACUAAGUGACAGAAAUUACUGUUAAUGCAUUCCAUGGAGUUACAAAUCCACAGGGUAACAUAGAUAGAAGAUUCAUUUAAUUGUUGAUUAACAAAUUAUAUGACACAGACAUGCCAUAGAGAUUACAGAGAAAUGAUAUACAGAUUCAUAUACCCUCUCAUUUGAAGGGUGAGUU